CUAAAAAAAAAUAUUAUUUUUCUUUUCAUCUCUCUCAUCACCGUCUUCUUUCUCUCCCUGUCUUCUUCACUCUCUGUUUCCUUUCUUUUCUUUCCCCCCAGCCGCACCUCUCUCCCUUUCUCUAUCUCACUCUCUGCCUCACUUUCCCCCCAGCAGAUUCUCGCUCACGAAGACUGACGGGGAGAGAACAGGAGAGAAAGAGAGAGAGUGAUGCAGAGAGAGCUGGGAGAGGGACGGAGAGAGAUGGUGAGAGAGAGAAAGCACAGCAGAUGGCCACGGCGAAGCCGUGAGUGGCUGGACAGCGGCUUUUGGGCUCAGAAUCAUUCCUUGGAUGAAGUGCAGAAGAAGAAGAGGGCUGAGAAAAUGGCUUGUGUCCAGAUGAGGUGCAUAAGAGGAAGAGGACGGAGAAGAACG